rnacentral:rRNA from 1 species
UACGGAGGGUGCGAGCGUUGUCCGGAAUCACUGGGCGUAAAGGGCGCGUAGGCGGCCCUGUCGCGUCGGAUGUGAAAGCCCGGGGCUUAACCCCGGGUCUGCAUUCGAUACGGGCAGGCUAGAGUGUGGUAGGGGAGAUCGGAAUUCCUGGUGUAGCGGUGAAAUGCGCAGAUAUCAGGAGGAACACCGGUGGCGAAGGCGGAUCUCUGGGCCAUUACUGACGCUGAGGAGCGAAAGCGUGGGGAGCGAACAGG